GGCUUGGCUCUGAAGAAGGGGCUGCUUGGCCUCUGACGGCAACAGGAGGGCACUAAAGGCAUUCACGGGAGUGUCCAAGAAUCCCCAAGAGGCUGAAGUGAAAGGUGUUGCUAACAGGCUGCCCACUUCACCUCCCUGCCUUGGAGAUGCUGGGUCUUCCAAAGCAGGGGCUGCAGUUUGAUAGCGUCUACAGCAGCAGCUGUCGAGAGGACGAGAGGACGCCUCAGAGUCAGGCACUUUACAUGUCACAACUGGUGACAGAAGGCACCUGAUUAUGCACUGCUUGAUGGAUUAAAGAUCCAAUGGCCGAGGCUGAGAGUUACACUGCAAAGGAAACUUUUAUAAGGGAAAGGAGACCUUAAGAGCAUAGUUUUUGCACAACCCUGCAUUUCUGGUAAGAGUUCAAUAUAUUGGGCCAGAGAGAUGGCUUAGAGUGUGUGAUCGCUAUUCCUCGUUGUCAACCUGAUUCUGUCUGGAAUGAACUACAAUCCAGAAUUGGAAGGCUCACCUGUGAUCCAGAUCUUGAGUCUGGAGACACAAGUUUCUGACCUGGAUCUUGGCAUGGAGAUCUUGAGGCCUAGUGGCCAUGAAAAGCUUAAGCCCAGGCAGGGUAGCACACAUCUUUAAUCCCAGGAGACUGAGGCUAGGAGAUCUCUGAGUUCAAGAUCAGCCUGGGACAAAACAAGUCCCAGAUCUAGGAGUGGUGCACACACCUAUAAUCUGGGCCACACCUUCUGCUGGAGACCUACACAAGGACAUUGGAAGAAGGAAGAUUUACUCUUCCUCUCCUGCUUGCAUUUUUACUUGCCAGCACAUCUGUUGGAAUCUAUUUCCACAGAAGACCAGCUGAAACAACCAGCCUUGUGGGACUGAGCGACUACUACAUCCUUGGAUGCCUCAUUCACAGCUGACUAUUGUUGGGGAGUUGGACUACAGACUAAGUCAUUAUAACAAAUUCCCUUACUAUAUAGAGACUACCCAUACGAUCUGUGACUGCAGAACCCUAAUACAGAGGGUAAAGGCACUUGUCACCAAGCCUGAUGAUCCAAGUUCAAGAAGAGAGCCCACUCCUUCAGGUUGUCCUCUGG
ensembl:lncRNA